UACGUAGGGUGCAAGCGUUAUCCGGAAUUAUUGGGCGUAAAGAGCUCGUAGGCGGUUUGUCGCGUCUGCUGUGAAAACUGGGGGCUCAACCCCGAGCCUGCAGUGGGUACGGGCAGACUAGAGUGCGGUAGGGGAGAUUGGAAUUCCUGGUGUAGCGGUGGAAUGCGCAGAUAUCAGGAGGAACACCGGUGGCGAAGGCGGGUCUCUGGGCAGUAACUGACGCUGAGGAGCGAAAGCGUGGGGAGCGAACAGG
rnacentral:rRNA from 1 species